CUUUACACGGAGCCCAAACGCAGUGACUUUUGGCCGCAGCAGCUCUGUCUCUGAAGGUGGAAUAGUCUGUGACUGCCAGGAGGGACCCGGGGGCCAGGCCUGCAGCCGGCCUCAGUAAAGGGUUUGUUUUCAAAAACAGUUUUUACCAUCCAGUUUUACCACCAGCACGGAGCAGAAAACAGCCAGUGGAAAACAGAGAGGAGUAGGAUUUUGCUGUCAGAUAAAACGAGAGAGGAAAUCUUAGAAGCUACUGUCACCAGUAGAAACAGCUGUCUUAUUGAGGUGGGAUUUCUGUAUCAACUCUAACACUGCCCAUGAAUUGCUUAUAAAAAUGAUCCCCCCCCCAAAUCCUGCAUGUGUAAGGCAGAGAAAACUGCUCUGAGAUGCAGUAAUGCU
rnacentral:lncRNA from 1 species